GAUGAACGCUGGCGGCGUGCCUAAUACAUGCAAGUCGAGCGAACGGACGAGAAGCUUGCUUCUCUGAUGUUAGCGGCGGACGGGUGAGUAACACGUGGAUAACCUACCUAUAAGACUGGGAUAACUUCGGGAAACCGGAGCUAAUACCGGAUAAUAUUUUGAACCGCAUGGUUCAAAAGUGAAAGACGGUCUUGCUGUCACUUAUAGAUGGAUCCGCGCUGCAUUAGCUAGUUGGUAAGGUAACGGCUUACCAAGGCAACGAUGCAUAGCCGACCUGAGAGGGUGAUCGGCCACACUGGAACUGAGACACGGUCCAGACUCCUACGGGAGGCAGCAGUAGGGAAUCUUCCGCAAUGGGCGAAAGCCUGACGGAGCAACGCCGCGUGAAUGAUGAAGGUCUUCGGAUCGUAAAACUCUGUUAUUAGGGAAGAACAUAUGUGUAAGUAACUGUGCACAUCUUGACGGUACCUAAUCAGAAAGCCACGGCUAACUACGUGCCAGCAGCCGCGGUAAUACGUAGGUGGCAAGCGUUAUCCGGAAUUAUUGGGCGUAAAGCGCGCGUAGGCGGUUUUUUAAGUCUGAUGUGAAAGCCCACGGCUCAACCGUGGAGGGUCAUUGGAAACUGGAAAACUUGAGUGCAGAAGAGGAAAGUGGAAUUCCAUGUGUAGCGGUGAAAUGCGCAGAGAUAUGGAGGAACACCAGUGGCGAAGGCGACUUUCUGGUCUGUAACUGACGCUGAUGUGCGAAAGCGUGGGGAUCAAACAGGAUUAGAUACCCUGGUAGUCCACGCCGUAAACGAUGAGUGCUAAGUGUUAGGGGGUUUCCGCCCCUUAGUGCUGCAGCUAACGCAUUAAGCACUCCGCCUGGGGAGUACGACCGCAAGGUUGAAACUCAAAGGAAUUGACGGGGACCCGCACAAGCGGUGGAGCAUGUGGUUUAAUUCGAAGCAACGCGAAGAACCUUACCAAAUCUUGACAUCCUUUGACAACUCUAGAGAUAGAGCCUUCCCCUUCGGGGGACAAAGUGACAGGUGGUGCAUGGUUGUCGUCAGCUCGUGUCGUGAGAUGUUGGGUUAAGUCCCGCAACGAGCGCAACCCUUAAGCUUAGUUGCCAUCAUUAAGUUGGGCACUCUAAGUUGACUGCCGGUGACAAACCGGAGGAAGGUGGGGAUGACGUCAAAUCAUCAUGCCCCUUAUGAUUUGGGCUACACACGUGCUACAAUGGACAAUACAAAGGGCAGCGAAACCGCGAGGUCAAGCAAAUCCCAUAAAGUUGUUCUCAGUUCGGAUUGUAGUCUGCAACUCGACUACAUGAAGCUGGAAUCGCUAGUAAUCGUAGAUCAGCAUGCUACGGUGAAUACGUUCCCGGGUCU
rnacentral:rRNA from 1 species